rnacentral:lncRNA from 1 species
AUAGCUUCUAUAAGAUGUCCUUCACUGAAAAAUAUAGAAAUAGACGUCUAUAGUUAUAAUUUUUGCUACAGUGAUAUCGAAUGUAUUGGUCGUUUAUUUCCGAACCUUGAAAAGUUUCGACUGGAAAAAGACCAUAAUUUUGGAUGGACAGAUGAAAUAGCAAGAAACAUGGGUGGGUUAUUUGAGUUGCAACUCAAGAUGUCUAAUAUUGUAGCUGAUGAUUUACGUACCAUUCUUGAUGGUUGCCCCAAGCUUCAAUUUCUUGGUGUUGUUACUAACUCAACAACUUUUUUAUUAGAUGAUGAUGUGAAGGAGAGAUUAAAGAGACUUCAGGGUUAUGAAAUUUACAACAUAUUUGAAUGGCAGAAGUAAAGAUUAAAGAGACUUCCAUGUUUUUUACAAACAUGGAAGACGCAAAGAUUGUAAGAAUGAGAUUUAUAUUAGUUAUUAAACUUUUGUAGAUGUUUUCUUUCCUUGUUAACAACAUUAAACCAAUAAUAUAUUAAUUGAUUGAAAUUUUUUUUUGAGUAAAUUAAAUGAUUAAAUUUUUUUCACAUUGAUAUGAAACUUUAUUAUCACAUAUUAAUCUGUUUAGUUGUUGAAUCAAUGAACAUUAAAUCCACUAAAAGUAGUAAAUUAAAUUAACUGUUAACAAGUAUUUAACGAUCUUUCUGGAUAAUGGCGAACCGAUCGGAGCUAGGAAUCAGAGUCGUCGUGACAGCGAAAAGAGCUAUCUCUUCUGUUUUUUCGAUAGUGGUAGAAUUGAAAUUUCUUGUAAAAACUACCCCUCUAUUAAUUUUGCUUCGAAAAGACCAUAUAACUGAAGAUUGAAAUCCUCGGCCAUUUCCGAGUACGAGGAUAGGGAUUGAAAUCCCGCCUCGGAUAAUCUCCGUACCUGGGAAAAAUUGUAUAUAAAACUUAUAACAAAUUUAUAUAGUAUAAUUUAUAUAAAUAACCUUAUACAAUAUGUUAAAUAGAUAAAUUUAUAUUUAAAAUCGUAAAAUUAAAUCUAUAUCCUAAUUAAAAACUUAAAAUUUUAAACUUAAAAGUUAAAUUUAUAUUCUAAUAAAACCGUAAACAUAAAAUGUAAAAAGUAAAAAACUCAAUCGAUUCAAUCCUAAAUAACUUAAUCUUCAACUCCAAAUACCACCGACCAUUUAAUUUUUAUUCUUACACGUUAUUCCACAAUCUCUAAAGUCCUAAGGUAAGCUACAUUUUUACAUUUAAAUCAAUAUUUUAAUUACAUUAGUAAAUAAUAAGUAGUAACAUAUUAACAUUAGUAUUUAGUAAAUUACUGUUUAAAAUAAAUAAAUUAAAUUUUUUUAAAAAAAUAUUUCGAACGGGGAUCUCCGUCCCCGGUCAAACGACAGGGUACGAGGCGAUUUUUGGGACCGGGGCCCGUACCCCCGUAAUUGAUUGAUUUAUUCAUUCUUUUAUUAAGGAAGUGUGGAAGAUUGGAAGCAAAUCCAAUCUAAUUAUUUCUAUUUUUAUUUAAUUGUAACGAUUUUCUUCGUUUUAUAUUAUAUUAUAUUGGCGAAUAUAAGAAAGUUUGUGGAGAUCACUCUAUAUUAAGCCAAAAAGAGUCUGUGUUAUUUUAACUCACACUUUUUUUUAUCAAGUCCUCUCACAUCAAAAAUGGUCUAUUUUUUUUAAUUCUUAGCCUUACAUUCUUUUUUUCAUUUAGAGAUAAACGACUAAGAUUAGACAAGUUCUUUUGGAUUUACCAAAGUUAGAUUUUCCUGAAAAUUACUCUAUAGUAUAAAUAUAGGUAGUAUGUCAUUUUCAAUUUCAUUUUUAUCGGAUUUUCAUGGGAUUGUUUACCGAUCUUCCAUUGAAUGUUCUUUCUAAUCUUCGACAAGAUUGGUUUAUUCCACAUCUUAUAUUCGGCACAGUUUGUGUGUAAAGAAUGGCAUGCACUUUCUCUCGAUCCUCACACAUGGAAGCGUAUCAAUGGAUGCAAAUUAAACUAUAAAGAUCUGAAGGUUGUUGUUGAUCGCAGCGAUGGAUGUUUGAUCGAGUACGAUGCUUCUACAGUUUAUUUAGAGUGGAAAGACAUGGAAUACAUAUUCGAAAGGUGAAUUUUUAUUUUUCUUCUUCUUUCAGUACAUUGUAAUUAUCCGAUAUUAAUUAAUUUUCUUCGAAACAGGUCUCCUAAAUUGGAAAAAAUAAGUUUUCAAUGUAACGGUUGGUUGCAGCCUUUUCUAGAGGAUCAAUUCACAAUAGCUUCUAUAAGAUGUCCUUCCCUGAAAAAUAUAGAAAUAGACGUCUAUAGUUAUAAUUUUUGCUACAGUGAUAUCGAAUGUAUUGGUCGUUUAUUUCCGAACCUUGAAAAGUUUCGACUGGAAAAAGACCAUAAUUUUGGAUGGACAGAUGAAAUAGCAAGAAACAUGGGUGGGUUAUUUGAGUUGCAACUCAAGAUGUCUAAUAUUGUAGCUGAUGAUUUACGUACCAUUCUUGAUGGUUGCCCC